rnacentral:tRNA from 1 species
AAAUUAGAAAGCGAAAAAUUGCAUUUAGUUUCGACCUAAAUUUGGGUAGUAUUACCUCUAAUUUU